rnacentral:tRNA from 1 species
ACGAAGUUAUCUGAUUGGCAAGAAUCCACAACAAGUUGUUCUUUGGUAAGAUGUUUAAAAACGGGUCUAUAGCUCAGUUGGUUAGAGCACCGUGUUGAUAACGCGGGGGUCAUAAGUUCAAGUCUUAUUAGACCCACCAUUUUGGGGCCAUAGCUCAGUUGGUAGAGCGCCUGCCUUGCACGCAGGAGGUCAGGAGUUCGACUCUCCUUGGCUCCACCAAGCAAGUUUAAACAUCAAAGCAUACAUAAGCAAUUUAAAUAAGAUUUCUUAUUUAUGCUUUUAUUUUAUAAACUGACGAAGUUUAUAACAUUAUUUAACAACAUAGUAUGAGUCUGGGUUAAUUAUUUAAUUCCAACAAAUAAUUAACCUGGUGUUUGUACCCAAUACAAACACCAAAAAGUAAAGAGAACUGAAUCAAGCGUAAACAUAGGUGAAUCGUUACACAUUACCCAUACACACCAAAGACUUCCUAGAAGUCAGACUACUUGGGGUUGUAU